rnacentral:rRNA from 1 species
AUUGAACGCUGGCGGCAGGCCUAACACAUGCAAGUCGAGCGAGCGGCGGACGGGUGAGUAAUGUAUGGGGACUGCCCGAUAGAGGGGGAUAACUACUGGAAACGGUAGCUAAUACCGCAUACUAUCGGAUAACCCAUAUGGGAUUAGCUAGGAGGUGAGGUAACGGCUUACCUAGGCGACGAUCCCUAGCUGGUCUGAGAGGAUGAUCAGCCACAGUGGGAGUGAGACAGGGCCCAGAGUCCUACGGAGGCAGGAGGGGGGAAUAUGGGACAAGGGGCGCAAGGCUGAUGCAGCGAUGGCGCGUGUAUGAAGAAGGGCGUCGGGGGGUAAAGUACUUUCAGUCGGGAGGCGUUACCGGCAGAAGAAGCGCCGGCUAACUCCGUGCCAGCAGCCGCGGUAGUUC